AGCCGCCCUUUUGCCAAACACACCUUAGGCUCGAGCUGUCUGAAACAGCAAAGGACACUCAUAAUUUAUGACUUACUGUCACAGGCACGUGUUCUGAAAGUAUAGAAGGGGUGAACGGGACACACAGAAUAAGGUAUUAUCAGUGAUCAAAAUAUGGUAAAUUAUACCCAGCUGUUAAAGCCGGGUUGAGGUCACAAAACACAUCCUCUACUAGCCAAAGAAAGCAGUGGAUUGAAGAGCAAAGCCAAGAACAUUGCGUAAUCAUAUUGGAAACAGUAUGAGAGGAGGGACCACAAAGUGAGCAUCCAAACUGAAUAUAUUGGGCACUGGAAUUUUUUGAAUUCUCUCCAACAAAAUCCUUAGAAAACCAAAGCCUUGAAAAAACCAGAGCUUUGAUAAUUUGCUUUAAUCCAAAGCAUCUGGUAAGAUCUUCACACAGGUAACACCAGUCACAUUCACAACAACACACAUGGCAUCCUGGGAAGCUAGCUGUGGGAACAGCUAUCUUGACUCAGCAAGUAAUGCCUGAGGUUGCAAUAUCUUGAUUCAUCAACAAGGAAUGUCUGAGAAAAUGCAUUCCAUGAAGUGAUGAAAUUUUCAAGGAUCACUCUUCAGAAAUCUCUUGCCUUAUCUCAAGAUACAGAUACUGCCAUUGAAAUAGACAAAAUCCUGAUUUUCAGGAAGCUACAGAAUCAAAUGGCUCUACAAACCCAUUUACAGUGAAGUUAUCUAAUUAUAUUCAGCUAGAUUUAAUAUUUCUGACUUAGGAAUCUUAGAUUGGUGCUUAAUAAUUUUACCAUAAAUGCUCAUUUAAAAUUUCUCAAAAAAGUAAGAGUGGGGAUGAAGGGUGUUUGUGUGCUCAGAAAGCUGGGGGCUUAAAUUUAGAAUCACCCCAAAAAAUGGAAGGUAGAAGAAAUUCAGCUUUGGUAUCAAUGGGUUAAUGCAGUCACCAACAAGGAAGUCACUAAAGCUCCAUCAGAUGUGCACAAAGAGAUGGUGGAUGUUACAUGAGGAAACUUAAUGCAUAGGUUGAGUCUUGCACCAAAUGACCCAGAAGCUCCCUCCAACUAUAAGCUCUAUGAACUGUGAAAAUUGUAAUAAGUGGUGGCACUUGUGGAAUUCCUUCCUGCCAUGAAGGAUAAAUUAUUAUAUAAAGGCUGUCACAUGCGAUACAUCAUCUACAAAUUUUUUGAGUUCCUACUGCAGCUGCCAUUUGGGAAAAAAGCCCCACCAGACCAACAAAGAGCCCUUCCCUUAAAAUACAUGAAAAAAAAAAAAUAUAGAGCUACUUGGCAUAACAGAAAUUCAUCCUGAGGCUCUCUACGAGUACCAUCAUCUUUGUUGUACUUGCUGUUGGUCAUGGGAACAUCCAUAGGAACCAAAACUCAUGAAAGAAAAGCCAUUAUACAGUAAAGUGGAAAAGUAAAUAUUCCAGGCAAGAUUUGCUUAAUUCCACUUACUAAAAGGACUGGGUUAACACUGAAAUUUUGGUGAAUUUCUCAUAACUGAAAAAAGUGAAGAAGAUGGUAUAAUCUAGAUGACAAGUCCUUGAAUUCAGCCACAUUUUAAAAAAUGCCAACACAUAUAUAUUUCUAACAGACUCUUAAGGAUGGAACAGAAUUCAGAGGUUGCAUCUACUAAUGUUUCAGCUCACUCAUUCCCAGUUCUCCACUCCUACCCCACCACCAACCCCAUACCAUUACAUUUUGCAGGAAGACUACAACACAGACAAAUAUUUAAUCAGUCUUUAAUAUGUUCUCUGUUAACUAUUAUCUUAACUAAAGACAGAACAAGAAAUUGACUACUUGAUACCCCUGUAAGAUUUCUUAGGAGUUGUACUGAAAUGAAAAUUCCUACCUGACUUUUACACUGUUAUCGCAACUCCUGGUCACAUAUGCUCACAUCAUAGUGACACAGCAUUCAUUACAGUCAUUCUUUCUGUAAUGUAAUUUUCCAAAUUCAUUAAGAAUAAGAUAAUGCAUAGCUGAUGUCUGACAAAAGGUCAGACUUGUUAUAUUAGAAACAAGCAACAAAGUUUGUAAUGGUUUAUCAGUAUUCAAUAAAAUAUGAUUUAUCUAUUGCUCUAUCAUGAUAGAUUUUAUCUACCAUUAAAUUACACUGAUAAUGUAGAAAAUAUUCUUUAAAAUAUGCUUUGUCUUAACAAGCUUCUUCAGCAGCAGAAGAAUUAUAUAAGAUUGUCAGCAAUUUAAUUAUAUAUUUACAUGCACUAUAGUCAAUCUUGUACAUAAUAUAUAAUUGUGUAUAUUUUGUAUUAUAUAGUAUGCAAAUGAUAUGUAUAUAUUGUCUUGCUCAAAUUAACAAUUGAGUUUCCAAUACUUAGAAAAAAGGAAGAUGUUCUAAAAAUUAUGAUCAGAAUCAUUCUGAUUGCUAUCCAUAAUUGUUGAGUUUUUUGUAUAGCAUGUGCAAUGGAUGAGUGAUAAGAAAACCUGAGUUACUGACAUAUAUUCUUUACUUUUCUGGGCAGUUGCUUUUUUAUAACAUUUUUAAUUUUCUGUAACUAAAACAACCCAUUUUGAAUUGAGAAAAAGUAAAAAAUUUGUAGCAUAUUCUAUUUUUAAACUCACAGGUUUAA